rnacentral:rRNA from 1 species
GUACGAGCGCAACCCUUGUCCUUAGUUACCAGCACGUUAAGGUGGGCACUCUAAGGAGACUGCCGGUGACAAACCGGAGGAAGGUGGGGAUGACGUCAAGUCAUCAUGGCCCUUACGGCCUGGGCUACACACGUGCUACAAUGGUCGGUACAAAGGGUUGCCAAGCCGCGAGGUGGAGCUAAUCCCAUAAAACCGAUCGUAGUCCGGAUCGCAGUCUGCAACUCGACUGCGUGAAGUCGGAAUCGCUAGUAAUCGUGAAUCAAAAUGUCACGGUGAAUACGUUCCCGGGCCUUGUACACACCGCCCGU